GGUGCUGUGGCUUAGGGGGUUAAAUUAUCUGUAUAAUGAGCAGGAGAUCCUGGGUUCAAAUCCCAGCAGUGCUU